GACAGAGGGUGCAACGUUGUUCGGAAUUACUGGGCGUAAAGCGCGUGUAGGCGGCCAUCUAAGUCGGGCGUGAAAUCCCACGGCUCAACCGUGGAAGUGCACUCGAAACUGGAUGGCUAGAGUCCUGGAGAGGAAGGUGGAAUGCUUGGUGUAGAGGUGAAAUUCGUAGAUAUCAAGCGGAACACCGGUGGCGAAGGCGGCCUUACUGGGACAGUGACGUGACGCUGAGACGCGAAAGCGUGGGGAGCGAACGAGGA
rnacentral:rRNA from 1 species